rnacentral:rRNA from 2 species
UAAAACCAGCACCUCAAGUGGUCAGGAGGAUUAUUGGGCCUAAAGCAUCCGUAGCCUGCUCUGUAAGUUUCCGGUUAACAUGCAGAUGCAUCAACUAAUGGGCCGCCGGAAAAACUGCAAAGCUAGGGAGUGGGAGAGGUAGACGGUACUCGGUAGGAAGGGGUAAAAUCCUUUGAUCUAUCGAUGACCACCUGUGGCGAAGGCGGUCUACCAGAACACGUUCGACGGUGAGGGAUGAAAGCUGGGGGAGCAAACCGGAUUAGAUACCCGGGUAGUCCCAGCUGUAAACGAUGCAGACUCGGUGAUGCGCUGGCUUGUGGCCAGUGCAGUGCCGCAGGGAAGCCGCUAAGUUUGCCGCCUGGGAAGUACGUACGCAAGUAUG